UUUCUCUUUCUCUGCUCUUCUUAGGGUAAUCCCAACCUUCUUUUCUUUUUUCUCUCCUCUUUCACCCGAGGAUUCGAAUUGCAUCACCAAACCAAUCUAUAUCUUUUCUCCUCUUUCAACAUAAACGUUUGUCAUCUAUCUCCUUUUGGUGUUUUGAUCACUUUUUUUAACAUGGCAGAUUAAAUAUGUCUCCCACAAGAAAAAAGUGAAAGUGAAUCAACUUUUGAUUGACCAAUAAAAAAGGCUAGAGUACAGAUGAGUUUGGAGGAAUAAGGUGCUUGCGCAUGGAACCACUUCAUAUGUGGGAGAUAUGGUUGAUCUGGUUUCGAACAUGGCAAUUCUGCUCGACACCAUGCAAAAACUUUAAAGGAUGGUUCAUGAACUCCAAUAAGAGUUGGGCGCCACGAGAGCAAGGGUGAUUCAUGAGAUUCAAAGGCUAAGGGCCCUGCUGCCACCCAAUGGGUUUUCGGUUGACAGUAAUAAUAAUAAUAGUAAUAAUUAGGUUAUGUUUUUCAUUUUAUCGUAUCUAUUUUGUUUUAUUUAUAUCGGAUCUACCUAAUGUAUAUUUUGUUUUAUAUGUAUUUUAUAUGUAAUAAAUGAAAAAAUUAUGUUUGGUCG